GCUGGAGGAGACACGGAACAGCAAUGCUAUAAGCAGAAAUGCUGUGUAAGGCUUGAACCAGGUAUGAAAAUUCAUCAGAUCAUACUUAGAACUACGUAUUUGGAACCCCCCAAAUAUUUUCAUUGUCCCUGAGAGACCACAGCUUCCUAUCACCACUUUAGAAACGGCUCACCUGCCAAUGCUUUCUGACUUGCUGACUGGACACGGCAGGAAGCCACAGAUGCUCAGUAAAUUUAUCUCUCCACAUCUCACAACUCUGACAAUGCAAAGCUAUUUGGAUAGCAAGAAGCUGCAGUGACUGCAAGCAACCACAAAAUGCUAAAAGGGACCUUUCCCAGUUAUUUACAAUACUCAGAAUAUGAAAAAAUCUGACUUGGCAACAACCCCUGAAUGAGACACUUAGGAUCAAGAUCCUCAUGAAACUUCCUUUUACAGUGGGAUUAUUUGAAGCAAAAUCAAGGCUUAUGUCAACAAUUUUAUUGAAGAUUAAAGCCUGAUUCUACAAGUA